CUCACCUCUCUUCUCAAGCUCAAAGCUUGGUCAUCUUGAAAACUCAAAUUCAAAACCCUAAUUUCUAGUCCAUUAGAUCCAUUUUUUGGGCCAAGAUGGUGACUUGCCGGUGGAUCUUGGCGAGCCCGAGGCCGUGCUCGGGUCGGCGAAUCUCGACGAGAAAGCGGGUGAGGGUCAAUUCUUUCGUCAACAGCGUUAACAAUAUUCGAAGGCGGGAGAUCUGCUUGAAACCCUGCCGUUCUUUUAAUUUCAUCAAUAACCAUGAGAAAUUCCAGCACAUUGGACUGCAGGUCUUGUAUCAUAUGAAGUCUGGAUUUGAUCCCCAGAAUGUUAACGAGAAAGUUCAGAUAUGAAGCCGUCCCUUGCGAGCAACAGGACUAGAAUUUUUGAUUGUGGAAUUUUCGUUCCCUUAUAUAUGAAGGCUAUAAUCCAUGGGGUUGAUACGAAUCAAGUAACUACUCCCGAUGUUGAGUCUGAUGUCAUCUGUGUCAGGCUAGUAGCUGAACUUCUAAUAGAAGAAUGACAACAGAAGAAUCAAGCAGAGACAUUUGAUAAGAAUGGGAGAAAGUUGUUCUAAAAAAUGAUUGGUUGAACCAAAACUUGUGUGCAUGUCUGUAUUGUGUAUAUUAGUUUAGUUGUGUAAAUAGUUGUUGUGGAUGACAAACAAUGCAGCAAGCUUGACGUUUA